AAAAGGUUGAGGUCUAAUAAAUGAUGGACUAAAUUGAAAUUUAAAUAAAAUUGCAAGUAUAAAUAAUAAUAAAUUAAAUAAAAAAACAUAAAUAAUGACCAAAAUAAAAUACGCGUAAAGGAGGAGGGACUAACUAGGAAAUUAUUCCCAGUCCCACAAAUGCGCUGUUCUAUAAGGGACCAAAAUGAAACAAAAUCAAAAUCACAAGGUAAAAAUUAAAAAAAAAAGAAACAGGACUGGAUUGAAAAAUAAUUAAAAAAACGAAAGGACUAGAGGCACAAUUAACCCCUUUGUAGCAAGAACACGCGGAUUCUACCAGCUCUCGGGUUAGGUCUUGGGUCGUGUCAAAACAACAUCAUUUUGACGUUUGAAAAUUGGCUCAAAACUGUGUUGUUUAGUACUGCCUAUUUAAACAAAAAUUUAAAAAAAAAACUCAUUUCUGCCUUCAAUUUAAAAAAAAAAACUAAAAGCCCUUUUUUUCUCUCAAACCAUCCUCAGACCGGCCUUUAGGUCUGGUGACCCUUCCCCCGAUGGCCAUCGGUCACUGGCAACGGGCUCCGCCAUCCCAGUGGUCAGAAAACACCAAAUACCCUUUCUUUUUUUUAGUGCUUUGACUCCAAGAGCCCAAAUCUAGGGUCAGUAUUCCCAAAGCCCCAUGAAAAUUAAAAAUAAUAAUAAUAAUAAUAAUAAACACAUUUGAUUUCUCCGUAUUUUGGUGGGUUCUCCGCACCUUCCUCUUCGACAUGGUCCUCAGGUGAAUCGAAGACGAUUCGGAGGCCAUGCACCGAAAAGAGCAAUCUUUCAUUGGAGACGGUGUCCUCGCACACCUCGACGGUGGGAUACGAAGCGGCGUUUAGGUAAAAAUUAUAUUUUCUAUUUAUUUUAUGCUUUUUUUAAAUAGCAGAUGAAAAAAAGAAAAAUCACCUUUGAAGUCUUUUCUUUGUAUAUGUUUUUAUUACUUCUUGUAUAUAUUUUUUCUCUGUCCAAAAAUACAUGCUGUUGAGGGGGCUUUUUAUCCAAUUAUACACUGUUUUUCUAUUGUUUUCAUUUCCUAUUUCUACGCCGUUUCUGUCCAUGCGUUUGUCCUCUUUUCUCUUUUUAUUUGCAGGUAGCGAUGGAGGGUCAACGAUGAGGAAAGAAGCCUGCCCUUGCCAUUUUGGUGAAACGGCAGCAGGGCAGACCUUAGAAUGAGAGGCCUCCGGGGGGUGCCUGUGAAGAGGGUGUGGCGCCAAAAACCCAAUAUAAAAAAAAUUUAAGUUUUUGGGUCGCUGGGCCAUUAGAGUUUUCAUUGAAUUGGGCUAUUUGGGCCUAUUUUUUUUGUAAAUGGACUGUUAUAUUUUAGAUUUUUAUUUUUUAUUUUUGGUUCUAUUUUUUUUGUUUUAUUGUUUGUAAUUUGGGCUCGGGCAAAAUUGGCCCAUUACAACGACAUUGUG
rnacentral:lncRNA from 1 species